rnacentral:lncRNA from 1 species
CUGCGGAAAAAACCUAUGUUUACAAUACAAACAUUGGAAAGUUCAAACACAUAAUCCAUCUAAAAAUCAAGAUGAGCUACAGUAUUUGGAAACCUAUGUUUGGGUAUGAAAGGGAGAGCGAGAGAUUGAGAAAAAGCAAAAGAAGAGAGACAGAGAAAGAGGGAACGGGAAUCUCAGGAUGUGUCAGACUGAUUAAAUGUGGAGAUCUCUCAAACGUAGAUUUAACCCCAACGAAUCAGUGUUUUAGCCAAGCAAGUUGCAGUCAUGAACAAAUGGGAAGCACCUAAGUAUAGUAAUUGGAAAUAGGAUGAAAGUAGAAUUGAAUAUUCUUAAUAGGAAAUGCUUACCUAUAUGCAAUUGAAGCAAUUAGAUCAGUUUGCAAGCAGGUAUAUUACUGUGAUCAAUACAAUCAGGUCUUCUACAUUCUCAAAUAAGCAAGUAUAAGUUCAGGUUAUCAAGCAAGCAUAUUGUGUUGUAUUAACUAAAUUUGAUGAAUAAAAAAUUAUAUACCUUAAGACCACCAACAAUACUGAGCCUCCCAACGCGCCUCCACUGGCAGUGACAUGUUCGUUUCUGCAGUCAUGAAGAAAACAAUUAAUUAUGAAAGUGUGUUCACUUUCAACCAAAUUUUUUUCCAAAAAAAAAAAACCUAGGGGUGGUAGUGGUUCUUACAUCCAAUUUCCAGACAAUAAUAU